GUCCUUUUGGGAACAUCUGAGAAAAUUGAAACAAUAUAGAGAACAUUAGCAUGACCUUUGUACCAACAUGCACAAUCCGAGAAAUGUUUAAAAAAAAA